rnacentral:rRNA from 1 species
UACAGAGGUCCCAAGCGUUGUUCGGAUUCACUGGGCGUAAAGGGUGCGUAGGUGGCGAGGUAAGUCGGAUGUGAAAGCUCGGAGCUCAACUCCGAAAUGGCAUUGGAAACUACCUUGCUCGAGGGAUGGAGGGGGGACUGGAAUUCUCGGUGUAGCAGUGAAAUGCGUAGAUAUCAAGAGGAACACCAGUGGCGAAGGCGAGUCCCUGGACAACACCUGACACUGAGGCACGAAAGCUAGGGGAGCAAACAGG